rnacentral:rRNA from 1 species
GCUCAACCGAGGAAGUGCUUCGAAAACUGGUAAACUUGAGUGCAGAAGAGGAAAGUGGAACUCCAUGUGUAGCGGUGGAAUGCGUAGAUAUAUGGAAGAACACCAGUGGCGAAGGCGGCUUUCUGGUCUGUAACUGAUGCUGAGAUUCGAAAGCAUGGGUAGCAAACAGGAUUAGAUACCCUGGUAGUCCAUGCCGUAAACGAUGAGUGCUAAGUGUUGGAGGGUUUCCGCCCUUCAGUGCUGCAGCUAACGCAUUAAGCACUCCGCCUGGGGAGUACGAUCGCAAGAUUGAAACUCAAAGGAAUUGACGGGGGCCCGCACAAGCGGUGGAGCAUGUGGUUUAAUUCGAAGCAACGCGAAGAACCUUACCAGGUCUUGACAUACCAUGAAAAGCUAAGAGAUUAGUCUUUCCCUUCGGGGACAUGGAUACAGGUGGUGCAUGGUUGUCGUCAGCUCGUGUCGUGAGAUGUUGGGUUAAGUCCCGCAACGAGCGCAACCCUUAUUAUCAGUUGCCAGCAUUCAGUUGGGCACUCUGGUGAGACUGCCGGUGACAAACCGGAGGAAGGUGGGGACGACGUCAAAUCAUCAUGCCCCUUAUGACCUGGGGCUACACACGUGCUACAAUGGUCGGUACAACG